CAGCCGCCCGGAAGGACUAAGCGGCUGCACCACGCUCGCCCAGAGGUCCUUCCGGGAGUCCAGCUGACACAGGUCUCGGCCAGGGCUCUACCUGCGCUCAGGAUUGGAAAAGCUGUGCGCAAUGAGAGGCGCGUUGGUUCUCCGCAACGGGGAGCAGAAACCGGCCUGGGUCAGCCAGUGGACUGGUUGGAAGCAGAGAACUGAAAGAAAACCAACACCCUAGUGAGGCCAAGGGGUAAGCGUAGUCCUCACCCCUCAUCAAGGAAACUUCCCUUGGCAACUGACAUCGAUCAUUACAGAAAACUGCAACCAAUCAAAUUGCAGUUGUACAGCCCAAUCCCAGCAGAUACAGCUACAAAACAACUCUUGCAACUAAGCUCAGGGAUCGUUGUGAAGGAGAGAACGGGAAGAUUGUAAGAUCCAGGGAAUCAAGGAAUUUGCUAUGAGACAGUGUCUCCCAGAAGCUGCACAUCCAUGAAGUCUCUCCAAUAUAGCUGCCUAAAUGUGACCUGAGUAAUGACACCAGUCGCCAUGUUAACACGGAUGAGGGAAAGCCAGGGAGGCUACACCCCCACCUGCAGCCAACUAAGAAAUGCUGGGAUUGGGAAAAAUUGUCUUCCCCUAGGAAGAGCACUGCAGUUGUUAUCCCAUACCACGUGGUCAGCACUGAAAACAUAUAUAUACAACUAAUAUCAUACAGGCUGAGCCAAUUGCAUUUACACAUUUAGGAAUAUACAUAUACACUUUCAUGUGUGUAAUAACAACCAAAUUUUGUUUUGUUUUGUUUUUAAAAAGCUCAUGAAUUUGAAAGAAAACAAUGGGAAGGAUAUAUGAGAGGGUUUGGAGAGAGGAAAGGGAAGGGGGAAAUGAUGUAAUUAUAUUAUAAUCUCAAAAAAAAAAAAAAAAAACGUGGGCUGGUGAGAUGGCUCAACGGGUAAAAGCACCAACUGCUCUUCUGAAGGUCAUGAGUUCAGAUCCCAGCAAACCAUAUAGUGGCUCACAACCACCCGUAACAAGAUCUGACGCCCUCUUCUGGUGUGUCUGAAGACAGCCACAGUGUAUUUACAUGUAAUAAAUAAAUAAAUCUUUUUAAAAAAGUAACAUGAAAUAACACAAACAGCUCUCAUCAAGAAGAUGAGAAGGGCCUCAAAGCUGAGAGUCAACCCAGGGAUUCUGGGUGGGAUUUUAAAAAUUUACUUAUAUGUAGUUUUUACAGUCCAGCCUGUCUCCCCCUUCCCCCAUACCUGAUCCUGCCCUGCUUUCCCCUCCUCCUCCCCUCUCCCACCCAGCUCCAUCCCUCCCUCUGCCUCCCAUGAUUAUUUUCUUCUCCCUUUCUAAGUGGGAUUGAAGCCUCCUCACUAGAGCCCUUCUGCUUGUUAACCUUCUUGCAGUCUGUGGGAUGUAGCCUAGAUGUUCUGUACUUUUGGGCUAAUAUCCACUUAUAGUGAGUAGCUACCAUACGUGUACUUUUGGGUCUGGGUUACCUCACUCAGGAUGAUAUUUUCUGCUUCCAUCCAUUUGCCUGCAAAAGUCAUGAUGUCCUUGUUUUUAAUAGCUGAGUGGUAUUCCAUUGUGUAAAUGAACCACAUUUUCUGUAUCCAUUCUUCAGUUGAAGGACAUCUGGGUUGUUUACAGCUUCUGGCUAUUGCAAAUAAGGCUGCUAUGAACAUAGUGGAGCAAGUGUCCUUGUGGUAUGGUGGGCAUCUUUUGGGUAUAUGGCUGUACUGGCUAGUUUUGUGUCAACUUGACACAGCUGGAGUUAUCACAGAAAAAGGAGCUUCAGUUGAGGAAAUGCCUCCAUGAGAUCCAACUGUAAGGCAUUUUCUCAAUUAGUGAUCAAGGGAGAAAGGGCCCUUGUGGGUGGGACGAUCUCUGGGCUGGUAAUCUUGGUUCUAUAAGAGAGCAGGCUGAGCAAGCCAGGGGAAGUCAGCCAGUAAGGAACAUCCCUCCAAUGGCUUCUGCAUCAGCUCCUGCUUCCUGACCUGCUUGAGUUCCAGUCCUGACUUCCUUGGUGAUGAACAGCAGUAUGGAAAUGUAAACUGAAUAAACCCUUUCCCCCCCAAUUUGCUUCUUGGCCAAGAUGUUUGUGCAGGAAUAGAAAUCCUGACUAAGACAAUGGCCAAGAGUGGUAUAGCUGGGUCUUCAUGUAGAACUACUUCCAACUUUCUGAGUAACCUCCAGAUUGAUUUCCAGAGUGGUUGUACCAGCUUGCAAUCCGACCAGCAAAGGAAGAGCGUUCCUCCUUCACAUCCUCGCCAGCAUGUGCUGUCACUUGAGUUUUUGAUCUUAGCCAUUCUGGUUAGUAUAAGGAGGAAUCUCAGAGUCAUUUUUAUUUGCAUUUCCCUGAUGACUAAGAACUUUGACUAUUUCAUUGUUUUAUUUUUUCCUUUUUGUUCAGUAAUGAUUAUAAUUUCAUUUAUUGUCUUUAAGGGAGAUGAGAAUAAAACAAACUUAGCGAAAGAGAAGACUAAAAUAUUAAAUGCUAGAUUGAAGGCCAUAGAAGAGAAAUUAUAGGAUAUUUUAAGUCAAAAUAAAGAACCUUCUAAGAAUCCAAUGUGGAACCUACC
rnacentral:lncRNA from 1 species